CCUGUGAUACUUGGAACAAUCAGGCUUGGGAAUGUCCAUCAGGGUCUUCUGGGAACCCACUAGUCCAAAUCCACCAUUAGAGAUGCUGCUAUCAAUCACCUGAGGUUUGGCCAGGAGAGGUUUCUAGAAAGCUCUGAAUUUUCAGAUGUGGAACCCCAGUCCCUGGGCUAACAGAAGAGAAGCCACAUGGAGGACCAGAGAAGAAGAAGGGCAUUGGACAACCGGCAGAAGAAAGAGAGUCUGCUUGAAUGCUGCCUCACUGGAGUAAUGGGCACCAAAUAUAGAGGGCAUGAGGAAAUGGUACAGAGAGGUGAAAGUAGAAUGAGCCAUCUGCAGGCUUAAUAGGCAGCCUGAAGACACAGCUCUGAUUUCUUAAUGAGAGUCAUUUUAAAGAUGCAGGGCAAUUUGCACCUAAUUCCUCAAGAACAGAAACACCUUCACUCUGUUCUGCAGCAUCACUCCAAAGACAAGUUGGAAGAGGGGGAGAGAAAGAGGAGGAAGAGGAGGAGGAGGAGGAAGAGGAAAAGGAGGAGGAGAAAGAGAAGGGGAAU